GUAGGUGAACCUGCGGAAGGAUCAUUAUUACGUAUCCAACGUAUAAACCAAUCGUGAACUGUCUGCCGCUCAGGCCAGUAAGAGUUAACGCUCUUGCUGAGUUGGGAAUCUGCUUUUGUUAAUGUUUGAGGCCAUGCACUCUAAUCCGUAAAACGAUUAGACUUUCUCCUAGUGAUGAAGGAGUGAAGCUUGUGUGACUCUUACGCCUUGCGCAAAGCACUUGUGUUUUGUGCGAGGGACCAGAUUCCCC
rnacentral:misc_RNA from 1 species